rnacentral:rRNA from 1 species
AACAUCCUAAAUUCUUCAUUUUUCUCUUUUCCCAAAUAAAAAUCUACCCAUAAAUUUAUUAUAUAAAACUUCCAUCACCCUAGUACUGCAAAGGAAAACAUAAAUUAUUUUUAAGUAAAGUUUAAAACUUCUACCUCGUGCAUCAUGGCUUAGCAAGUCAACUCUAAUUCUAGUCUACCCCGAAAUCUUUACGAGCUGAUAAAAAUUUGUGCAAGAACCCACUACCGCAUGUUUCAAAAUGCUUAGAAAAAUUCUAUCAGAAGCUACAUACCUACCGCGUAAGACUAUAGCUGGUUUCCUAAAAGCCUCACAUUAGUGAGACAAGAAAAAUUCUUUGAUAAAUAAUAAAGGAAAAGCUCUAUUAUCCUAGCUAAUUUCUUUACCCUUCCCUCUAAAGUAAGCUUAGAAACUGCUAACUUCUAAAUAACGUUAUAGUAUAAAUCAUCUUAUACAUAAUUAUAAACAAAUUGCUACCUACUAUUAGGAACUAUUUACCAACCUCCUCAAAUAAAAAUUCUGCUAAGAUUAGUAUUCAAUUUUAUCCAUAAAUCUUUAAAACCUAUUUUCUCCCUAAAACAAAACUCCUUAAUAUAAGGAACUCGGCAAAUCCAAGCUCCGACUGUUUAACAAAAACAUUGCCUCUUGAUUUUAAAAUAAGAGGUUCAUCCUGCCCAAUGACUUUAGUUCAAUGGCCGCGGUACCCUGACCGUGCAAAGGUAGCAUAAUCACUUGCCCCUUAAUUAGGGGCUGGCAUGAAUGGACACACGAAAGCUUAACUGUCUCAUAUUUACUAAUAAAAAUUAAUCUUUAAGUGAAAAAGCUUAAAUUUCAUUGCAGGACAAGAAGACCCCGUUGAGCUUUAUUCUCUAUAGACCACCAUCAAUAUUUUUAUAUCUUAAACCUAAAAAAGAAUUUAGUUGGGGUGACUAAGGAACAUCAAAAUCUUCCUUUAAAUACUUAGGGCUAUUUCCCAUAAAAAUUGACCCAUAUUUAUGAUCAAAAAAAUAAGCUACCACAGGGAUAACAGGCUAAUCUUUCUUAAGAGCCCAAAUUGUCAGAAAGGAUUGGCACCUCGAUGUUGGCUUAGGGGCCCCUAAUAGUGCAGAAGCUAUUAAUGGUAGGUUUGUUCAACCUUUAAAACCCUACAUGAGCUGAGUUCAGACCGGCGUAAGCCAGGUUAGUUUCUAUCCUCAAUUUAAUCUUUACAUAAUAGUACGAAAGGACCUUACUGUAAUAAAAAUUUUAACUUCUAUGAAAACAACUAAUUUCCUUUAACUUAUUUCCAAUAGAAAAAAUAU